rnacentral:tRNA from 1 species
GGAAACAUGGCUCAGCGGUCAAGAGCACUGGCUGCGUCUCCAGGGGGCACAGGUUCUAUUCCUGUGUCCA